CUCAAAGGGAUGGAUAUAAAUGAAAUAAUUAAACCGGAAAAUACAUCUUCAGAAAGAUGAUACAAAAAAAUGCCGUGUUUACUAAUCUUGCAUUCAUAUCUCCCAAAUUAUAAUAGUUGUCAUUAAAAGAUGAUUAUAUAUACAUGAAAGUAUGUAUCUUUUCCAGAUUUAUGCAACUGAGGCAUAUUACUACUGUGGUUUUGCAUGAAAAUGCAUCAAGGUAUUCUCAGAUAACCAUAAGUUGGUUAUGGCUGCCUGGAAGUCCUGGUCUGAUACAUUAUGGAGCCUCACAAAAUCCUCCUGCUACAACAGCAAGAACUUUCCUUCUGUGUAAGCUGUCCCAGGAAGAUGACACCAGUAUCUAACAAAAAAGCGUGUCACCUUGGAUCAAGUCUGAGGGACCUGAGGCAGCUGUCAAAACACCACCAUUUCUCCUGUGCCUGCCUUAAUAAUAUGCCAUGUAGCAGCAUGGCCCUCGACUUGGACAGACAAAAAUAAAAGGAAAAAAUACCUUCCA
rnacentral:lncRNA from 1 species